UACGGAGGAUGCAAGUGUUAUCCGGAAUCACUGGGCGUAAAGCGUCUGUAGGUGGUUUAAUAAGUCAACUGUUAAAUCUUGAGGCUCAACCUCAAAAUCGCAGUCGAAACUAUUAGGCUAGAGUAUAGUAGGGGUAAAGGGAAUUCCCGGUGGAGCGGUGAAGUGCGUAGAGAUCGGGAAGAACGCCCACAGCGAAGGCACUCUGCUGGGCCAACACUGACACUCAGAGACGAAAGCUAGGGGAGCGAAUGGG
rnacentral:rRNA from 1 species